AUCAUUAGUUCUGAGCGGACUCUGCCCAACAACUGCUCAGCCUCCAAGGCGUCCCUAUGUGUGGCGUCCCUAGCAUCCAAGAGGUUCGGAAACGCCUGGGGACCUGGCGCCAGUGCCAAGGUUGAGGAACCUGGGGGUUCCUCCUUCCACGCCUUCAACCUGAGAGAGGAUUAAGUUGUCCGGGACUGGCAGAGCUCAGGAAGCGGUCCCUCCCACUCCAGCCUCUCUGGAGCUCGGACACCCAGGGGUCCCCUGCCUCCGUGGAGGUGAGCGCGCACUCACCGGAGGUGAGCUGCAUCCAAGCACAGAUCUUGUACACGGUGGCUGUGUUGCAGAAGAAGAAGAGGGUAAAGCAAACGAUGCAGGCGAUGAUGAGCAUCAUGGAGAGGCCGAUGAAGAAGGAGGCGGCUUUGAAGGCGCCCGAGGGCAGCGUGGAGAAGUCAGUGAAGCUACCCCUGCAGGUCAGCUCCCGGGAGAAGCCGUUGCCGAUGCAGUAGUGGAAGAGCCCGAAAUAGCCGGCUUGCGGGGUGUCCACGCCGUCGCCGAUCCAGUAGGGCUGGAUGAAGCACACCACAUUGACGAUGGCAAAGCAGAUGGUGAAGAUGGCCCACAGCACGCCGAUGGCCCGCGAGUUCCGCACAUAGUUGGUGUGGUACAGCUUGGCAGCCUCCUGAGCCGGGAGCAUCGCGGCGGCGGCGGCGGCGGCUCCGGGCAUUCUCCCCCUCCUCCUCCUCCUCCCGGUCCUCCGCCUCCCCCCGCCUCUCGGCGCGCAGGAGACACACUCGCCGAGCGAGCGGCGUGCGUUGCAAUUCCCCUGCCUCCGCCUCAGCCCAGCAGCACCAGUUCUAGAGUCUGCAACCUCGCUCCCGGAAGGAGGGAGGGGGAGCGUGGAGCACCCCUCCGGCUCGCCAGGCACAGCCUCCCGCCCCCCUCUUCCCUCCCUCCUGGACCCGGCUCCAGCCCUGCUUUGCACCCUCCACUCCUCUGCUCGUUGCUGCAGCUGCUGCAGCUGAAGCCUGCGAGCCCUCACGCCCCCUUACUCUUCAUCUCGCCUUUGACCCUCUUUCCUGUAGGCUCUGCUGGUGCCCCAGGUCACAGAGGAUCCGGGCUACCAGGAGAUGCUUCUUAAGUGCCAGGAGCAAGAGAAGCAGACGUGGAGUUAUAAGAGCGCGCCCAGAGGAAUCCUAGAGGCACUCCCUAGAUCCUGGAGGGUGUGCUGCUGGCCAAGAGGCUGAUCCUGAGCUUUUCAUCACCGCACAGGAACGUGCUUUGACCUCUGCAUCUCUGCAGGGAAAAAAAGAGGCAGCCUUAUGGCAGGUGUAGGUGAGAAAGGAAGAGAGAUGUGGUUCCCGGGGAGGUGUCCCUGUUAAAACCACAGAAUUGCCCCAGGCUAACUCUUAGGUGACCUCAGGUUGGCAGAUGGAGACAGGAGAAGUUGGGCAGAAGUCUGUCACACAAUAAUGUAGAAGUCACGCCUGGAGGGUGAUCCUCUAUUGUUUCUCGUCCCACUUUUCCACUAUGCAACCAAAUGAACUAUGGCAAAUGGAAACCCCAAGCUUCGCUUGAAGUCAAACCUUUUCUCUCCCACGCGGCUUGCAAUAGAUGGGGCCUGCAUGCACAGAAGUAGUUAUCACAGAAUUUUAGAGUUUGUUUGAAAACAUCGGAUAAUUUGGCAGGUGUUUCAUUUAUUGCACAAAUACUCAUUGGCAGCUAGCAUGUGCUAAAGAUAAAGAGGGAUAAAGAUAAAUGGGAUGAGUGCCUUAACAGUGGAAGUAUUUCCACCUCUCCCACAACCAAAAGCUCCAGUUAACCCGAGAAUUGGUUUUAGUGUAAUUUCCCCGGAUCGUCUGCAAACAAUCUCUUGCACAAUUAAUGUGUACUUUACACUGUCCCCUUCUCUCAUUUACUUUCUCCAUUCUUGACACUGCCCUUUUUUACAGCCCUUUCAAAAUGAGUUGCUCAUUGCUAUCUCUUUUUUUUUUUUUCCCCCUGUGGUCGGUUACUGUUUGGUUCCUUCUGAACCGUAUAGCAAACCGACAAUGCUCAAUUGCAGGAAUAGAUUUUGGUACAAAUAAUCUUAAACUCCACAAUGUAAUGCUGCAUUCUUUGAGCAGACGAAAGAAUGCACCCAUAGACUCAUCCAGAAGUCUGUACUAUGUAAAUUACCCUUCAGUAAAAUUGGGCCCAACGUGUAAAUGAUGGAGAUUAAUUAUGCUCUUGAUCUGAUACCCUGAGGAUUUGCAAUUAUGGGGGUGGGGGAGUAAAGAGAGGGGGUUUAGGAGGGACACAGAGGCAAUGAAGGACCUUCUGCUGCAACUAUGAACGAUUUGAGGCGCAAGUGUUAGAAUUACACAGGAGCGUUUCCUCUGCAUCCAGCUGCGGAAUUACAGUUCAAGAUCCGUGAGGCUGAGUUUGGAAAAGAGGACAUCGUUAGACAGAUCAGGGAAUGUGGUUGCUGAGGUAAGCCAGAAUUGCUAUCAAGUGUAGCUAUAACCUUUCAGAAAGCCUUUAAAAUAUCAAAGCGAUUUAGGACAGAUGCAGAAGGUGGUCUAGAUGUGGACACAUUAUGUCUUUAAAAAUAUAACUCAAAGAGAUCUAUCUUCUGUGUGUUUGGUGGUAAUGAAGGGUCAGAACUUCUGUUAGGUUUCAUUUCAGAACUCCCCUACGGCUGCCGGUAAAUCAGCAUUUUAACUUGGGAGGAAGAAGAGAAAAGAAGAUGGUAAUAAGUUUUGUAGGGUCAGUUGGCAGGCAGUGUGUCCUAAAGCAGAGAGGGCUUCAAGGCAAGAAAGGACAGUGAUUUCUAGUGACUCUCCCAAGCCCUCAACUCCCCUAACCCUGCUUAUAUAAAGUUGUCUUUCUUUGAAAUCAAUGCCUUAAAAAACAAAACAACAACAACAACAAAA
ensembl:lincRNA A930003O13Rik RIKEN cDNA A930003O13 gene